AUGAAAGUGGGACCUGCUGAGGAAUAGGAAUGGGAAUGUUGCGGGUGUGCAACUUGAGUCGUAUGAGAAUGCUGUAAAGAAAGCAGCAAGUUUUCUAAUCAAGUUUAAAAAACGUAAUUACUAGUAAAUGCAAGGUACAGAAUGCCAAUAAACACGUGACUUUUCGGUAGAUCAUAUACAUCGAUUUAGAAAAUGUGUCUCGGGUGAUACAGUGUUACGUAUAUGCAUCGGAUACACACCAUGGCCAUUCUGUCUCAAGUUCUCAAAAGAAAAGACAGCGACCUUUUGUGUAGGUGUAAAUGUCUUUUCUCAAAUGUGUAACUUCUGUUUUUAGAAGCGGAUAUGUUUCAUCUAUCCUAUUCGUUUAAAAUUCCUUUUUUUGGACAAACCUACCCAGACCAGGAAUGCGCGCAGGUGUAGUGGGCUGAUAGCUUCAAUGACGCACGACAGUAUAUCCGGACAAGCCAGGGGGGCUACAGGCUGAGGUCAGAUAGGCACGUUUAAGACAUACCGAUGGCAUGAUGACGUUUUCCGACUGUUUUGAAAAUACGCCAGUGUUCUGUAGGAUGGAACAGUUUACCAGAUCUGAAGGUUGAUGUGUUAAGAUGGGAGUCAAGGCUCCUUUCCAACUAGAGAGAGAAGAGAGGAGAGAGGAGAGAGGAGAGCUCCCCCCUCUGGUCAUUCUGUCUUCCCAGGAUGCUAGUGUAGAAACAGCAGGACAAUGCUCCAUGCCACACAGCCAGGUCAAUCAAGGUGUGGAUGGAGGACCACCAGAUCAAGACCCUGUCAUGGCCAGCCCAAUCUCCAGACCUGAACCCCAUUGAAAACCUCUGGAAUGUGAUCAAGAGGAAGAUGGAGGGUCACAAGCCAUCAAACAAAGCUGAGCUGCUUGAAUUUUUGCGCCAGGAGUGGCAUAAAGUCACCCAACAUCAAUGUGAAAGACUGGUGGAGAGCAUGCCAAGAUGCAUGAAAGCUGUUCUUGAAAAUCAGGGUUAUUCCACCAAAUAUUGAUUUCUAAACUCUUCCUAAGUUAAAACAUUAGUAUUGUGUUGUUUAAAAAUGAAUAUGAACUUAUUUUCUUUGCAUUAUUCGAGGUCUGACAACACUGCAUCUUUUUUGUUAUUUUGACCAGUUGUCAUUUUCUGCAAAUAAAUGCUCUAAAUGACAAUAUUUGGAAUUUGGGAGAAAUGUUGUCAGUAGUUUAUAGAAUAAAACAAAAAUGUUCAUUUUACCCAAACACAUACCUAUAAAUAGUAAAACCAGAGAAACUGAUAAUUUUGCAGUGGUCUCUUAAUUUUUUCCAGAGCUGUAUAUAGCUAUGGCCAAACGUUUAGAAACCUGCUGAAUAAUGUUGAACUACAUACCACUUUGUAAUGUGACAUUUUGAAAUCUAACAUGAAAUACUGUACUACUAUUAUGGCUUCCGGUAGACUUUUGUGAUAUCAUUUUGCAGUUUCUUUAAUUACAUGAUGAUAAAUAAAAGUUAUGUUCCUAUAGUUUUUUUUUUUUUUUUAAUGAUGUCUCAAGCCUAAAAUUCUAGUUGAUGCCACAUUUUUGGCCAUAGCUGUUUAAUAUAUGCUUAAGUUCCAUUUUCAUUGC